UUGCACAGUGAACACCCACGUGUGCUGUAGAGUUCCCUCGGCUCCGGCUCUGUGCUAGAGCAAUGUCUGUUCUUCUCUGUGGUGAAAGGGCUCUCUCUCUUUUUAAAUGUACUCAGAAAGUCAGCACAUUA